rnacentral:rRNA from 1 species
GAGAACGCUGGCGGCGUGCCUAACACAUGCAAGUCGAGCGAAUGAAGUUCCUUCGGUUGAUUUCUAUGAAAGUCGAGUGGCGGACGGGUGAGUAACACGUGGGUAACCUGCCUUACAGAGGGGGAUAACAGUUUGAAAAGACUGCUAAUACCGCAUAAGCACACAGUACCGCAUGGUACGGGGUGAAAAGAUUUAUCGCUGUAAGAUGGACCCGCGUCUGAUUAGCUAGUUGGCAGGGUAACGGCCUACCAAGGCGACGAUCAGUAGCCGACCUGAGAGGGUGAUCGGCCACAUUGGGACUGAGACACGGCCCAAACUCCUACGGGAGGCAGCAGUGGGGGAUAUUGCACAAUGGAGGAAACUCUGAUGCAGCGACGCCGCGUGAGUGAAGAAGUAUUUCGGUAUGUAAAGCUCUAUCAGCAGGGAAGAUAAUGACAGUACCUGACUAAGAAGCCCCGGCUAACUACGUG